CUUUCCCUCUGGCUUCAGGCCUAACACAUGCAAGUCGAACGGUAACAGGAAACAGCUUGCUGUUUCGCUGACGAGUGGCGGACGGGUGAGUAAUGUCUGGGAAACUGCCUGAUGGAGGGGGAUAACUACUGGAAACGGUAGCUAAUACCGCAUAACGUCGCAAGACCAAAGAGGGGGACCUUCGGGCCUCUUGCCAUCGGAUGUGCCCAGAUGGGAUUAGCUAGUAGGUGGGGUAACGGCUCACCUAGGCGACGAUCCCUAGCUGGUCUGAGAGGAUGACCAGCCACACUGGAACUGAGACACGGUCCAGACUCCUACGGGAGGCAGCAGUGGGGAAUAUUGCACAAUGGGCGCAAGCCUGAUGCAGCCAUGCCGCGUGUAUGAAGAAGGCCUUCGGGUUGUAAAGUACUUUCAGCGGGGAUGAAGGGAGUAAAGUUAAUACCUUUGCUCAUUGACGUUACCCGCAGAAGAAGCACCGGCUAACUCCGUG
rnacentral:rRNA from 1 species